UACGAAGGGUGCUAGCGUUGUUCGGAAUCAUUGGGCGUAAAGCGUACGUAGGCGGCUUAGUAAGUCGAUUGUGAAAUCCCCAGGCUUAACUUGGGAAUUGCAACCGAAACUGCUUCGCUUGAGUUUGGUGGGGGAUAGUGGAAUUCCUAGUGUAGGGGUGAAAUCCGUAGAUAUUAGGAGGAAUAUCGGUGGCGAAAGCGACUAUCUACGCCAAUACUGACGCUAAGGUACGAAAGCGUGGGGAGCAAACAGG
rnacentral:rRNA from 1 species